CCGCUAUUAUUUCCGAAGCAGUUUGUCAGUUUGUCUCCUUGGCUGUGAUACAUUGUGACAUCGCUGGCGUUGUAGAAGACCGGUGCCUAGACUGAUGGGCAGUAUGAACGCAUCGUUGACAUCGUACAACUUUCGCUAGAAAGUUGUUGUCAGUACAACUUUGUCAGCCGGGCCUCCAUGUACAGUUGGUAUCCGCCGAUCGGCCAUGAAAAUGCCGCACAACCACCUCUCGUAGUUGCCUCAGACGAAGAAAAUGAUGUUCUGCGCGUCUAUACCGACUUAACUGGUGACACUCCGUCCUCCGACUACACUGGGGGGAACACUGUGAUCGGAAUAUUUCGGUGACCCUGGUCCCUCAAGCUCAAUUUAAGAAGUCCUUAUGUAUUCAAGUACCUCAUCCACUACAGUGCCCUUCAAGUUCAUCAGACAUUGGUGC